GAUGAACGCUAGCGGGAGGCCUAACACAUGCAAGCCGAGCGGUAAUGUUUCUUCGGCAAUGAGCGAGCGGCGUACGGGCGCGUAACACGUGUGCAACCUGCCUUUAUCUGGGGGCUAGCCUUUCGAAAGGAAGAUUAAUACUCCAUAAUAUAUUGAACGGCAUCGUUUAAUAUUGAAAGCUCCGGCGGAUAGAGAUGGGCACGCGCAAGAUUAGCUAGUUGGUGAGGUAACGGCUCACCAAGGCGAUGAUCUUUAGGGGGCCUGAGAGGGUGAUCCCCCACACGGGUACGGAGACACGGACCAGAAAGCUACGGAAGGCAGCAGAGAGGAAUAUUGGACAAUGGGUGCAAGCCUGAGCCAGCCAUCCCGCGUGAAGUACGCCUGCCGUAUGAGUUGUAAGCUUCUGUUGUAUAGGUGUAAACCUACCCUCGAGAGGGUAGCUGAAGGUACUAGACGAGUAAGCACCGGCUAAGUCCGUG
rnacentral:rRNA from 1 species